CUUCAAACCCGUGCAGUGUACACAAGGGGAUUGCACAAGGCCGUAAUUGUGCCUGCACGUUCUCUUCCCCUCCUCUUUUCAGCUGAAUAACCCAAAGCAUCAAACGCAGGACGUGCUGCAAGUUGCAACCGCGCUGUGGCAGGAGGCAGAAAACGACUGAAUUGAGUUAUAGGGAAAUACUGCAGAAAUGACAAUAUUUUUUUUCUCAAAUCUCUAUCAUUUCUUCCAUAGUAACGCAGGAAAAUCCUGCCCUAAGUGCCACCCCCAGCUGCCUGUGGGGUACGUGUCCUCUGAGGUCCUUCCCAUGCUCCCUUAUCCGUAUGGAUCUUCCCACAGAAGCCGUGCGGUGAACACAGGUUGCCCAAGGAGGCCGUGGGAGCCACGGGGCUCUUAUGGUGUGCUGGAAAUGGCUGAUGGUGCAUCUGCAAGGUAAAACGUAGCUCAGCCUCUCGAGAAUGGAAAAUGUGAAUUAACGCUGGGAUUGUAUUUCUCGGUGGCCUGACUUGGAGUCAUCGAAACUCCUCCCCAGUGCGGCACAUACAGACUGGCUGUACGUGGCUUCUCACUGCCUGCCACCUACUCACGGAAGUCCUGCUGAUGACUUUACAGCUAAGAUGUCAUUCAAGUUCCUCCAGCGAGGAGCUGGAGUUAUAAAAAACCAUGUUGGAUGUGGCUGUGUUUGCAGACAACAGCGGUGCUUCCUGUGCUCGGAAACAGAGCGAGUUUCUAUUUCGGGCUUUGCUGACUCAAGGGUGAGGUGCCCGAGCUGAUUCAGCAGCUUGGCAAGUCAGGGGAACUUCUCGUUAUGAAUGGAACGAGCAAUAAACUUGAAGUUUGCCUUGGUCUUACAGAAAGGCAGCUUCAGGGGAAGCCACGUCCCGGUGGCAGACAUUGCCAAGGCAGCGGGGUCUGCAGUGCGUUCAGCACAGCGCAGCAAAGCACCUCGUCUGGGAGAUGAAGCUGCAUCAGUAGCGUGGGUGAUCCGAGCCCCUUCUGAAGAAGGAUGAGAAGACAGAGCAGUCACAAAGAACCCGGCCACCUGAGGAAGGGAGAAGAAUGCACCACUUACUCAGCUUCCUUUGCACUGCAUGGAAAAGAUGGCAGAGGUGAGCCCUGCGCUCUGCUUGCACGGGAAGGUGAGAUGAGCAUCACGGUGAGCCUGAAGCUAAGAGGAGAGACAAGCAUCUGAAACACUGCCUACUGUUUACUGCUCAUCUCUAAGCAGAAGUCAGAAAUGCUGUUUUUUCCCCAUAACCCAGAGGCUGUCGGGGUCCAGGAGCAGCUCAGCAGUGAUGCUGAGCAGAAGUCUGUUAGAAGGUGAACACAGCUCUCUGUUAGGGUGGGAGAGCAGGGGAGGGCAUUUCUUCCUCUUCCUCCAGUCUGUGCAUGGACUGAACAGGUUCUGCCAUAUUUUCCUUCAGUACUUGUGCUGUUUCCAGAACCAGAUGGGAUGAACGGUCUCCAUCCGUGGUGCCCGUGCUGCCUUUCAUCCAGGCUGUGAGUUUCCCUGUGCCAGCACACAGUGAAACCACAGCCUCCUAACCAGCACUCCUCCUCCCCAGCUACACCACGGCAGGCACUCGUACCGGUGUUGUUCCCAUCCGUGUUCUGUGCCUGGUGGAGGCGGCUUGUGAAGCCUAAAAAAGCAUCAUGUGGGCUGCCACAUUUCAG
ensembl:lncRNA